rnacentral:ncRNA from 17 species
GACUUCGAGGAGCGCUGCGAGGCCGGACCCGGCCCCAGGCUCGAAGCGGAAUCACCCAACGGCGCUCACCUGUA